GAUGAACGCUGGCGGCGUGCCUAAUACAUGCAAGUCGAGCGAACAGACGAGGAGCUUGCUCCUCUGACGUUAGCGGCGGACGGGUGAGUAACACGUGGAUAACCUACCUAUAAGACUGGGAUAACUUCGGGAAACCGGAGCUAAUACCGGAUAAUAUAUUGAACCGCAUUGUUCAAUAGUGAAAUACGGUUUUGCUGUCACUUAUAGAUGGAUCCGCGCCGCAUUAGCUAGUUGGUAAGGUAACGGCUUACCAAGGCAACGAUGCGUAGCCGACCUGAGAGGGUGAUCGGCCACACUGGAACUGAGACACGGUCCAGACUCCUACGGGAGGCAGCAGUAGGGAAUCUUCCGCAAUGGGCGAAAGCCUGACGGAGCAACGCCGAGUGAGUGAUGAAGGUCUUCGGAUCGUAAAACUCUGUUAUUAGGGAAGAACAAAUGUGUAAGUAACUAUGCACGUCUUGACGGUACCUAAUCAGAAAGCCACGGCUAACUACGUG
rnacentral:rRNA from 1 species